AGCAGCCGCGGUAAUUCCAGCUCCAAUAGCGUAUAUUAAAGUUGUUGCAGUUAAAAAGCUCGUAGUUGAAUUUCGGGGUUCUACCGUUGGUCGGGCUUUGUCUGUACUGGCGUGUAGAAUUUCUACCUUCUGGGGAACCAUCAUGUUAUUAAUUUAACGUGGUGGGAAACCAGGACCUUUACCUUGAAAAAAUUAGAGUGUUCAAAGCAGGCUUAUGUCUGAAUACAUUAGCAUGGAAUAAUAAAAUAGGACGGUGGUCCUGUUUUGUUGGCUUCUGAAUCACCGUAAUGAUUAAUAGGGAUAGUUGGGGGCAUUAGUAUUCAAUUGUCAGAGGUGAAAUUCUUGGAUUUAU
rnacentral:rRNA from 1 species